rnacentral:rRNA from 1 species
UGGGGAAUAUUGCGCAAUGGGGGGAGCCCUGACGCAGCCAUGCCGCGUGAAUGAAGAAGGCCUUAGGGUUGUAAAGUUCUUUCGGUAUUGAGGAAGGUUGAUGUGUUAAUAGCACAUCAAAUUGACGUUAAAUACAGAAGAAGCACCGGCUAACUCCGUGCCAGCAGCCGCGGUAAUACGGAGGGUGCGAGCGUUAAUCGGAAUAACUGGGCGUAAAGGGCACGCAGGCGGUUAUUUAAGUGAGGUGUGAAAGCCCCGGGCUUAACCUGGGAAUUGCAUUUCAGACUGGGUAACUAGAGUACUUUAGGGAGGGGUAGAAUUCCACGUGUAGCGGUGAAAUGCGUAGAGAUGUGGAGGAAUACCGAAGGCGAAGGCGGCCCCUUGGGAAUGUACUGACGCUCAUGUGCGAAAGCGUGGGGAGCAAACAGGAUUAGAUACCCUGGUAGUCCACGCUGUAAACGCUGUCGAUUUGGGGGUUGGGGUUUAACUCUGGCGCCCGUAGCUAACGUGAUAAAUCGACCGCCUGGGGAGUACGGCCGCAAGGUUA